UCUUUUUUCUCUUUCCCUACAUGUCUCUUCUUUCUCUCCCGGUAGAUUUGUCCAACGUAUAGAUUCUACAAAGUGCCUGACACUAAAAAGAGAAUGAUGAUGGAAAAGAGUGGCGGGGCACCUGGGUGGCUCAGUCCAUUAAGCGUCUGACUUUGGCUCAGAUCAUGAUCUCAUGGUUGAUUGCAGUCUCAUUGCAGACUCUGUGCCUUCCGUGUUUUUAUAUUCUACUAACGCCUGUACAGAAUUCCAUAAAGAGGUUUGCCCACAAAAAUACUAUAUGCCUAACCUAAGAAACUGGUCAUGACAGAGAAGAGGCAGGCCACACCUUUGGAAUGCUCAGGUGUCCUUUCCAGCUUGCACAAGUUUGUUCACCAGAGCCAGAAGCCAACAUAACGGAAGAUUUUGACAAUUCCUCGGAAAAUAGUUCUGAAGCUAUAUAAAGAGUGGCUGCACCAGCUUGCAUUCCCAUAACUGCAUCUGCAAUAUUACAAAGAAGAAAAACUUAAAUGCACGUAAAUGGCUUGCUGAAGGAGAAAAAAAUGGAGAGCCUCAGAGGUAGGCCCCCGUCUCUCAUUGCUUCCUUUGAACUCGACAUGACAAGGACUCUCUUCUGCCCAGAAAGAAACAGCUUCAUGUCAAGGCAACUUGGAAGUUGGAAGCUGAAGGAAACUGUUAUGUAAAUAAAGAAGACUGAUAAAACAGAAGAAAAUGGGGCAAGUAAAGACACCUUGUUCAGGAAAAAAAAAAAACCAAGAAGGCAUACAAUAAAAAUUACUUCUUUAAACA
rnacentral:lncRNA from 1 species